GAAGCGGAUGUAAACUAAAAAAAAUAGGAAAGACAACCAGUACUAAACUCAAACUAAGCUUCUUUUUUAUCAUAUUUUAUGGAUCUGAAAAUCUAGAUUUAUUCUCAUUAUCGAAAGAUCUAGAUCUAUAAAUAAACAAAAAGGUCCAAAAAUAUUAACGCUAAAAAAGGAACACUUCUAGUUUUAAUUUAAUAAUAAAUUAAAAGCUCAUUUUGAGGAUGGGUGAUCGUUACAAUAUUCACAGCCAGCUUGAACAUCUACAAUCCAAAUAUAUUGGAACUGGCCACGCAGACACAACCAAGUGGGAAUGGUUGACAAACCAGCAUAGAGAUACAUAUGCUUCCUAUCUAGGACACUUUGACAUGCUCAAUCAUCUAAGUCUAGCCGAAAAUGAGUCAAGAGCCAGAGUCAGGUUUAACAUCAUGGAAAAAAUGCUUCAGCCUUGUGGUCCACCUCCUAAACGUCCAGAGGAUUAAAAACUACUUUAACAUGUUAUUGACUUUUAACUCAUUUGUUUGUAAAAUGAUUUAUUAAAUAUUUCUUUCCUAGA